AGCGUGGAGACAGGUGGUGCAUGGCUGUCGUCAGCUCGUGUCGUGAGAUGUUGGGUUAAGUCCCGCAACGAGCGCAACCCUCACCCCUAGUUGCCACCGGGUAAAGCCGAGCACUCGAGGGGAACUGCCAGCGUCAAGCUGGAGGAAGGCGGGGAUGACGUCAAGUCAUCAUGCCCCUUACGCCCUGGGCUACACACGUGCUACAAUGGCCGGUACAAAGGGAUGCCACACCGCGAGGGAGAGCUAAACCCAAAAAGCCGGUCUAAGUUCAGAUUGGAGUCUGCAACUCGACUCCAUGAAGGAGGAAUCGCUAGUAAUCGCGUAUCAGCACGACGCGGUGAAUACGUUCCCGGGCCUUGUACACACCGCCCGUCACACCACGAAAGCCUGCUGUACUCGAAGUCGCUGAG
rnacentral:rRNA from 1 species